GACGAACGCUGGCGGCGUGCCUAAUACAUGCAAGUCGAACGAGAGCGACCGGUGCUUGCACUGGUCAAUCUAGUGGCGAACGGGUGAGUAACACGUGGGUAACCUGCCCAUCAGGGGGGGAUAACAUCCGGAAACGGAUGCUAAAACCGCAUAGGUCUUCGAGCCGCAUGGCUUGAAGAGGAAAAGAGGCGCAAGCUUCUGCUGAUGGAUGGACCCGCGGUGCAUUAGCUAGUUGGUGAGGUAACGGCUCACCAAGGCCGUGAUGCAUAGCCGACCUGAGAGGGUGAUCGGCCACAUUGGGACUGAGACACGGCCCAAACUCCUACGGGAGGCAGCAGUAGGGAAUCUUCCGCAAUGGACGCAAGUCUGACGGAGCAACGCCGCGUGAGUGAAGAAGGUUUUCGGAUCGUAAAACUCUGUUGUUAGAGAAGAACAAGUGCUAGAGUAACUGUUAGCGCCUUGACGGUAUCUAACCAGAAAGCCACGGCUAACUACGUG
rnacentral:rRNA from 1 species